CCCAGCCAGAAACGAGGCAAGAAUCCCCAGCGGUCGGGCACUGGGAGGCGAUGCUGAUGUUCUGGAUGGCAUCCGACCCGGGCACCGACUCUUUCAACUUGAUGAGCAUGAGGUCGUUGGCGAUAAAAGACACAUCCUGUGUGGAGAAGAAUGACCGUAGGGUGAGAAGGGAGCAGACACCGACACGAAGGCGGAAGGUGACAGCAGCCCAGGUGGGCGAUGCUGUGGUCCAGGGAGAAGAGGAAUGAAUGGGCGCAGGGCUCAUCCCGGAGUUCAGAAGGCCAGAAGUCCAAAGGCAGUCUCACUGGACUGGUUCCUUCUAGAGGCUCUAAGGGUGACUCCAUUUCCUUGUCUUUUCAGCUUCUGGAGGCACCUGC